GCCGACUCGGGUAGCAGGCCAGCAGUGACUUUCUUUAACGGGAUUGCUCAUUUUCAUCCGUAUGAAAAUAAUUUGCUUUCAUCCGUUUUUCUACCCGUCGGAUUUUGGUGUCAAGAUUCGCGUUUUUCCUUUUCUUUUCCAGACUCGGGGUUGUUUUGUUCGUUACCGGGCCCGUAAUCUUCUCCUUGGAGACCCGUUAAUCCUGGCGGGUCCGUGUACUAGCCGGUUUUUUCUUUUAUUUUUCGAAUUUCCUUUUAUCUUCUCCGCUGACUUUGUCUGUUUUCCUUUCCCAUUUGGAGCGGCAAGAUCUUGGAGGCAGAGAGGAGAGAGCCAUGGCGAUUUUGGUAGGUUAGCUUUGUCGCUGAUCUCUGGAGAGCGAGCCAGUGGUUAGGCGCCCGGUCCUCCUCCCCCUCCCCCUCCCCCAUCCCCUGUUGCUUCUCCUUGAAGUGUGUUGAGGCAGAGGAGAGGUCGAUGCAUGGUGAUUCGGCAGCGGUGUCUUAUCUGCUUCUGUUGAUUUCGUCCCGCCCCUCCUUUUGCUGUGGUGUUUCGAGCCCUGUGCCUCCCUUCUUCACGCAACGAGUGGUGGAUCCCAACUCUUUUAGGUUGUUUGUGGUGGUUCCUAGAUGUCCGAUUUUGCUGCAGAUGGAGCAACAUCUAGUAGAUGUAGAUGCAACAACGCCUGGUUUGAUGUAGUUGUAGGGGUGGUUCCCUCAUGUCUAUUUUUGAUUUCUGCUCCCGAAUGUCUCUGUAGUUGUUCAUGUGCCCCUAUAUGUGCACAGCCCCUAGAUGUGUGGAUGUAAAUGUUGAAUCUAGCUCCUAGAUGUUUACUGUAUAUGUGUAUGAUGCCGGUUGUUUUUGUCAGUGAGUUGGAUUAUAACUUUGAGCAGAUUUGGAGUGAUCGGGACUGAAUUUUAUCAGUUAAGCGUCAGUGAUUUUGGACUGUAGUUUCAGGUUUUAUUAGUCCAUCUUACUCUGUAAUUUUUGAGUGCUUUUGUGUCUGGCUUUGUAAAUUCAGUAAUGUGUAAGUUUCAGUGAUCUACUCUGUAAUUUUCGAGUGCUUUUGUGUCUGGCUUUGUAACUUCUGUAAUGUGUAAGUUUCAGUGAUCUACUCUGUAACUUUCGAGUGCUUUUUUCUC